GGCCCUAUAACUCAAUAGGUUAGAGUACACCACUCAUAAUGGUAUAGUUGCUGGUUCGAGUCCAGCUGGGGCCACCA
rnacentral:tRNA from 2 species